rnacentral:pre_miRNA from 1 species
GGGGGGAUCGCCGGAUCUUGGGCUGUGUCCCCCGGCACCCUGGGCUCCAGGGCCUGUGCUGUUGGAAUCACGCUCCCUGCCUCGCAGCUCCUU